rnacentral:lncRNA from 1 species
CAAGGGGCCAGAUACUUCUUCUAAGCGAGAGGUAGCUGUGAGAGAAGUGAGAAGAGGAUGCUGAAGGUGGGGGAAAGAAUUGCAGAAGUGAAAGGAAGAGUCCUGGAGAGUGGGACUGAGGGGGAAUGGCACUGUGAAGAGGGAAAGUCCCAGAGAAAGAGCCCCUUCUCUUUCCACAAACCUGCUCGCCCUCCCCCACCUCCCCCUGGCUCACAGCCUCUCAUAAAGGGAGUGCUUCCCUGGGCUGCUGAGUGUGAUCACACUUAAUUUCAAAUAGCAAAGUCCAUUUCGAGCCGUAUUUUCACACUGGCGGGAUGAAUGUGAAUAAUAGCCACAUUGAGGCUGGUUCUGAAAUGGCUCGCCCAGCUGACACGAAUGUGAAGUUUUCCAGUCGAGAAUGUGUUUAAUGGUUCAGAAACCACUUUUUGCUGACCCUCAAGUCACCUCCUGAGUUUUGUCAAGAGCUUCUUUUUGAGAAAGGAUUAUUAUCUCCAGUUGUUGUCUCCUGGGUGCAACUCUUUCUCUCUCUGCUUGGAUAUUUCACUUCAGCCUGUGAUUUUCCUCCUUGUGUUGGCUUCGGAUCCCAAGAACCCUGUUUAACAAAGCAGUGGAAAAUGUUGCUUAGGAAUUCCAGAUCCCAAGAGAGUGGGCAACUCCCUCAUCAGAGGUGGAUUAUGUUGGUGUACUGCCUCAAUGGAAGACUUUUUGGGAACCCGGUACACAUAAGUGUACUACUGUGACAGUGACUUCAUCAAGCAGAGCUUCGGUGGUCAUGCAGGUAAAAACGGUUUUCUUUCUUUUUGUUUGUUUUUUUGUUUUUGUCUUAAAGUACCAGGCAAAUUUUCCUAAUGCUGUCAUGUUUAUGGCAGAAUCCAUGCAGCUUUGGCUGCUCAGCAACAGAACCUCCAACUCU